AUUGAACGCUGGCGGCAUGCCUUACACAUGCAAGUCGAACGGCAGCACGGGAGCAAUCCUGGUGGCGAGUGGCGAACGGGUGAGUAAAGUAUCGGAACGUGCCCAGCCGUGGGGGAUAACGUAGCGAAAGUUACGCUAAUACCGCAUACGAUCUAUGGAUGAAAGCGGGGGAUCGCAAGACCUCGCGGGAUUGGAGCGGCCGAUAUCAGGUUAGGUAGUUGGUGGGGUAAAGGCUCACCAAGCCGACGAUCUGUAGCUGGUCUGAGAGGACAACCAGCAGCACCGGAGAUGGGAGACGGCCCAGAUGCCUACGGGGGGCAGCAGUGGGGGAGUGUGGACAAGGGGCGAAAGCCUGAACCAGGCAUGCCGCGUUCAGGAUGAAGGCCUUAGGGUUGUAAACUACUUUUGUCCGGAACGAAAAGGUUUGGGGUAAUAAGCUGAGCUCAUGACGGUACCGUAAGAAUAAGCACCGGCUAACUACGUGCCAGCCGCCGCCGUAA
rnacentral:rRNA from 1 species